GAUUGGCAAACCUUCUGAAAGGAUGGGACGCAAAGCCAUGGGUCUAAUGAUUUUAUGUCGAAGACUGCCAGGUUG
rnacentral:ncRNA from 1 species